UACAGAGGAUGCAAGCGUUAUCCGGAAUGAUUGGGCGUAAAGCGUCUGUAGGUGGCUUUUUUAAGUCCGCCGUCAAAUCCCAGGGCUCAACUCUGGACAGGCGGUGGAAACUACCAAGCUUGAGUACGGUAGGGGCAGAGGGAAUUUCCGGUGGAGCGGUGAAAUGCGUUAGAGAUCGGAAAGAACACCAACGGCGAAAAGCACUCUGCUGGGCCGACACUGGCACUGAGAGACGAAAGCUAGGGGAGCGAAUGGG
rnacentral:rRNA from 1 species